CACCCUGUAGGUCAAGGGGACAAGGCAGGGAAGAAGGGAAUGGGUGAGUCUUUGUUCCUAGGACCUAGAGCCUGCAGAUCUCCAAGACCCAGUCAUUCUUGCUGAAAAUGAGCCGUGUCUAUGCUAUCCCAGAGGUUAUGAGGGCUUGCUACUCUUCUACAGGACUUGAGUUUGGUUCCCCGUACCCAUGUUCAGCAACUCACAACUACCUGUAACUCUAGUUCCAAGAGCUCUGACACACUCUUCUGGCUUCCAAGGUCACCUGUACACAUUCAGUGACAUCAGUAUAAAAAUAUCCACUCCUUGAAAACAAUAUGGUCUUUUUUUUUUUUUUUUUCUGGCUGUCCUGGAAGGAACUAUAUAGACAAGGUUGGCCUCGAACUCACAGAGGUCCAUCUGCAUUUACCUCUGAGUGCUGGGAGUAAAGGCGUGAGCCACCAUACUUGUAGCAGAUGUAAAUCUCUUGCAUGGAGCUCACUGGGAGGGACAGAGAUAAUCUGGAUUUGAGUUUGUAUUCUGAUUAACCCACUAGGAAGUGGCCCCAAUGUGCCCACCUUUGACCUAGUUUCCCUCCCUCUCUAAUUUCUUUCUCUCAACAGGGUGCAGUUAGCCCAAGUGGCUGGGACUCCAGCUCAUCUUGCUGUUCGUGGCAACUCCACCCCAUCAGCACACUCCACAAUGAGGCAGUAGGCUGUGAAAUUUCUCGUGAUGGAGUAAGACAAAGAUUUUACAGAACGCCCCACACUGUCCUUUCUCAUUGAAGCGUACACAGAUUGUGUUUUGGUCAUGGAAUGGCCUACAUCAUGUAAUCAGGUGUUCUCCUAUUGGCUGCUUCUCAAUGAAAAGGGGUUUCUCGUGAUCAGGGGCUAAGAACUAUCUGUAAGACGAGUCUACCCAAGGGUACACACAGGUUAAUUAAGCUUGAGUCAUUUCAGUCUUGAAAGACUUGGCCCUUGGCCUCCACGUGACUGUCAUCUAGCGGCUAGAACCUAGUUAGACUUCUAAGAUGUAAAUAAAUGGCCAAGAGCGCUAGAACAUUGCAGGAGUGGGCAGAGAGAACCUCUGCAGUGUGACGCCAUGAGGGCAAGCUUCGGACAAUGUACGGAAGGGAAGCUCUUGCAAGUUGCAUCUUGGUUCAUGAGGUGGUACAAAAUGGUUUCACAUUCCUGAAGAAAAGUGCGCUGCAGGUAACCUCCAGGGAAGAUCACAGUGGUGACACCGGGCUGAGGUAAGCACAGGACUGGGCAUAGGCUGAGGUGGAUCCAAAGAGCCCACUAGAUGUCUCAGGACAUCGGACUUGGUAAGAGGAAGACUUAAGGGGAGGGUUGUAUCAGGCAAUGAAUGGGGCAGGAGUCGCAUUUUAAAGAACAGCAUGCCAUUAAUAAAAGGAGAGAAGGCAUCAGAGUUGAUGGUUAUAUUUAUUUUGGGGGAGGAGGCACCUGUGCCACGUCAUGUGUGAGGAAAUCAGAGGACAGCUUGUGGGAGAAGUUGGGACUGGGGGAUGGAGCUUGGGUAACGAGGCCUGACAGCCAGCGCUUUUACCUGGAGCUGAGGCAGCUUUUGUGGCUCUCAAAGAUUGUUCUCACUUUCCUCACUUGGGAGUGUUUUCCUAAAGUUCAGGCCUGCAUGGGUUUGGGGGGGGGGCAAUGAAAAUGAGAUUUUUUUUUCAAAAUCAGGAGUGGAAAGGUGCUAAACUAAUUAUUAAUUAAUAAAUCCUGAUGACGGUGUUGCUGCCCGA